AGUAGGGAUUGACUCGAGGUAACUAUGAGUCAGCUCGAUAGAAGUAGGGCUCGACUCAAGAUCUGAUCAAAAGAGUAUAGUUUUCUAUCUUUCUUGAGAGAAUUGACUCGAGAUCAAGUACGAGUUGACUCGAACCAGUGUUGAAAGAUUCUAUUUUAUGUGUCUGAGAUAGUUGACUCGAUAAAAGUAGGGGUCGACUUUUAAAC
rnacentral:lncRNA from 1 species